CCAACAUGUUGGCGUCACAGAGGAGGCAAAUCAGUGACGAACUGAGGAGGAGUGUGGGUGCUACAGAAAUGUAAAACACACCUCUUUAAAAAGGUCGCUAUGGGGAAGCUAUGGAGCUCCACUUAGGUGUUGACAGGUGUAAACAAGACUAGCAAAAGCAAUCAAAUCAUGUUUUGUUCCUUCAUUAGUUCAAUCUCAAACAGAAUCACAGAGCGAUCAGCUAGUAA